rnacentral:rRNA from 1 species
CUUGUUGGUGAGGUAACGGCUCACCAAGGCUUCGAUCCGUAGCUGGUCUGAGAGGACGAUCAGCCACACUGGGACUGAGACACGGCCCAGACUCCUACGGGAGGCAGCAGUGGGGAAUCUUGCGCAAUGGGCGAAAGCCUGACGCAGCGACGCCGCGUGAGGGAAGAAGGCCUUCGGGUUGUAAACCUCUUUCAGGAGGGACGAAGCCACUCGGGUCAAUAGCCCAGAGGGUGACGGUACCUCCAGAAGAAGCCCCGGCUAACUACGUGCCAGCAGCCGCGGUAAUACGUAGGGGGCUAGCGUUGUCCGGAUUUAUUGGGCGUAAAGAGCGUGUAGGCGGCCAGGUAGGUCUGCUGUGAAAACUCGAGGCUCAACCUCGAGACGUCGGCGGAAACCAUCUGGCUAGAGUCCGGAAGAGGAGAGUGGAAUUCCUGGUGUAGCGGUGAAAUGCGCAGAUAUCAGGAAGAACACCCGUGGCGAAGGCGGCUCUCUGGGACGGUACUGACGCUGAGACGCGAAAGCGUGGGGAGCGAACAGGAUUAGAUACCCUGGUAGUCCACGCCGUAAACGAUGGGUGCUAGGUGUGGGGGGUGUCGACUCCCUCCGUGCCGAAGCUAACGCAUUAAGCACCCCGCCUGGGGAGUACGGCCGCAAGGCUAAAACUCAAAGGAAUUGACG